CAGCAGCCGCGGUAAUACGGAGGGUGCAAGCGUUAAUCGGAAUUACUGGGCGUAAAGCGUGCGUAGGCGGUUCGUUAAGUCUGUUGUGAAAGCCCCGGGCUCAACCUGGGAAUGGCAAUGGAUACUGGCGAGCUAGAGUGUGUCAGAGGAUGGUGGAAUUCCCGGUGUAGCGGUGAAAUGCGUAGAGAUCGGGAGGAACAUCAGUGGCGAAGGCGGCCAUCUGGGACAACACUGACGCUGAGGCACGAAAGCGUGGGGAGCAAACAGGAUUAGAUACCCCUGUAGUCCCUGUCUCUUAUAC
rnacentral:rRNA from 1 species